AACGAACGCUGGCGGCAUGCCUAACACAUGCAAGUCGAACGAGACCUUCGGGUCUAGUGGCGCACGGGUGCGUAACGCGUGGGAAUCUGCCCUUGGGUUCGGAAUAACUCAGAGAAAUUUGAGCUAAUACCGGAUGAUGACGAAAGUCCAAAGAUUUAUCGCCCAAGGAUGAGCCCGCGUAAGAUUAGCUUGUUGGUGGGGUAAUGGCCCACCAAGGCGACGAUCUUUAGCUGGUCUGAGAGGAUGAUCAGCCACACUGGGACUGAGACACGGCCCAGACUCCUACGGGAGGCAGCAGUGGGGAAUAUUGGACAAUGGGCGAAAGCCUGAUCCAGCAAUGCCGCGUGAGUGAUGAAGGCCUUAGGGUUGUAAAGCUCUUUUACCAGGGAUGAUAAUGACAGUACCUGGAGAAUAAGCUCCGGCUAACUCCGUGCCAGCCGCCGCAGUAACAC
rnacentral:rRNA from 1 species